rnacentral:lncRNA from 1 species
GGAAAUGGUAUUUCUGAUGCAUAGUAAGUUAAAAAGCAGCUGGAUGUGCUUGAGUCUGAACGUCUGGUGUUAUCUCCAGAAGAGGAUCUUGUACUGAAGAGGUCUCUCCCCUGCUUAGCAUCCUCACAGGAUCUCUGCCUGUUUAAGGAGGGGCAUGGAGCCAGCCACCCCUUAUAAAGUGAUCUCUGUGCCCUGGGAGCCAGGAAAAGUCUGCACGGAGUUUCUAUGCCUUGGCACAACCAUAGCCUUGCAUAGGCAAUGUGGCAGUGGAAGGGUCUGUGUGCAUUGUGUGAGUGAUGUUUGGCUUUGACCAUGCAUGAGUAUUCAAGCCGAGAUAGAUCUGU